rnacentral:rRNA from 1 species
GAUGAACGCUGGCGGCGUGCCUAAUACAUGCAAGUCGAGCGAACAGAUGAGAAGCUUGCUCCUCUGACGUUAGCGGCGGACGGGUGAGUAACACGUGGAUAACCUACCUAUAAGACUGGGAUAACUUCGGGAAACCGGAGCUAAUACCGGAUAAUAUAUUGAACCGCAUGGUUCAAUAGUGAAAGACGGUUUUGCUGUCACUUAUAGAUGGAUCCGCGCUGCAUUAGCUAGUUGGUAAGGUAACGGCUUACCAAGGCAACGAUGCGUAGCCGACCUGAGAGGGUGAUCGGCCACACUGGAACUGAGACACGGUCCAGACUCCUACGGGAGGCAGCAGUAGGGAAUCUUCCGCAAUGGGCGAAAGCCUGACGGAGCAACGCCGCGUGAGUGAUGAAGGUCUUCGGAUCGUAAAACUCUGUUAUUAGGGAAGAACAAAUGUGUAAGUAACUAUGCACAUCUUGACGGUACCUAAUCAGAAAGCCACGGCUAACUACGUG